rnacentral:lncRNA from 1 species
UGGGUGGGUCCUCUGCGCCUUGGCCGGAAGAAAGCGCGUUUGUUUGGGAGCCUUGCUUUAGUCUCUUGUAGGGUCUUGUAUUGGUGAGUGUGGUAAACUUAAUUCAAUUUAAACCGCCUGUUGGACCCAGAAGCGUAAAGGGAAGGUGGGAAAGCUCGUCCCUGGUCACAUGUAAUUUUUAAAAAGGGCGGCUGCGGAGGUGUGAUUUAUACAAAUCUGUGUUCCACGUUCAGAAUCCAGAUGGCCGUCUACUUAAAGAGCGAGUACAGACGUGCAUUUCAUUUCUUCUAAGCUGAGAAUCAAAAGCACUUAUUUUUUAAAAUUUAUUUUAUAUUUGUGAGUACACUGUCGCUGUCUUCCGACUCACCAGAAGAGGGCAGCGGAUCCCACUGCAGAUGGCUGUGAGCCACAUGCGGUUGCUAGGAAUUGAACUCAGGACCUCUGGAAGAGCAGUCAGUGCUCUUAACCGCUGAGCCGUUUCUCCAGCUUGGAACGUUGUUACCUUUGCGUUCUGUCUGUGCUGGAAAUUGCGAGCUGUUGCAGCUAUUUUUCAUGCUAGAGAGAAGUGUUACAUGCUUGACCUUCUGUAGUUUUGAGUCUGGGGCGCGUGUGCCCGACAUCAUUGUAGACCUUUGACUCUUGAGCCCGCAUACCAUCCUUUACUAGCCCCUCUAACUUCAGCACACAUGGACUUGCCUUCUGAGUCACCAUGUAUGUGGUUUAAUGCAUUUGCCGGCUACUUAAAUCUGGAACCCUGGUAUCAAUGAGAUCAAUCAAACAAACAAAACCAGGACUUAACUCAGUGGUAAAGAGCAUUUGUUGCUCUUGCAGAGGACCCAGAUUCGGGACCCAACUCCCAUUAGUCUUGGUUCCCAGUGUUUUUAUCAGCUGCUCCUAGGAUUUCUCCCCCUUCCUCAAGACUUAGGUUAAUCUCAUAGAGUAAAACUAGUACCUCUUGGUUAUUCUCUCACCAGCAAUCUUGAAUUCAAGUACUCAGUCUCCUACUCAACUUUUUGUCAGUCCUAGUCUCCAGCCUUCUCUCUGUCCCUCGUAAAAACACUGCCAGUUCCUUGCUUAUAAAACUUAGACUUCAGAGUCUACCUCUGGAGUGAGUAAAAUCCAAAUUGCUUAUGGUGGCUGCAUAGGCAGCAGGUACUCUGUGUUUUUACCAUCCUGCCCUGCUUGUCCUUCAACUCCUUUAACUGCUCAAAUACAGAGUUUUGCUUGGCCUGGGAUGCCCAUCCCCUGACCUCCCCAUGUAUCCUUAAGAUGAAUCUUAUGUGUUAUGUCUGCUUCCCUUACCUUCCCCAAGUAAGGCUUUACCUUUCUGGACUUCUCUCUGCAGUUACGUGCUUAUGUAAUUAUAUCUGUGUCGAAUCUGAACUAGGGUGCUCUGGAGGCUGGCAGCAUCUUACUGAACCCAGUUGCCUCAGCAGCACUGUCACAAAUUAUUUAGGAAACAUUGAAUUGAAUGGACCUAGAAACCUUAUCUAAAUUAGUUUCAUGAUAGUAGCUGUGUACCAGGAACACCAGAACAGUGGCUUGUUAACAUUUUAAAAGGUAUUGAUGCUAGGUUCUCUAGUCCACUGUAAAGAAAAGAAAUCAAGAUAGGGUUAACAGAUGGUAUCCCAAAAAUAAUUUACUUAGUUACCUUAAACUCUAGACACAUCAACUGGCUUAAUAAGUAUUUAUUGAAAAUCUGUUACAAACUUCUAAGGAACUAUAUAUUAGUGAAGAUGGGUGGUAUACUGGUCUACCUCACUUUACCAAGCUAGUGUUUUAUAGUGAGAAGAAGGAGAGUCACAGAAAUAUUAAAAGUGCUGGAGGAAGAUGCAGAUUUUAAAGAUGAGGCUAGGACUGGCCUGCUAGAGGAAGUAACUGCUGAAAGAUUUCGAAGGGCGAUUUUACUGUGAGGACAUCUUCUGUGCCUGGUGCCAUGAGGAAUGGUGAAACCCACCUCCCAAGGCUUGGUGCCUUCAGUCUGCUCAAAGAAAAGCAGAAGUGAGUUAGAGUUCCUGAGUGCAGUGGCUUGGGGGACAAGUAAGAGAUGAGGUUACAGAGGAAAGCAGAAGUUAAGAGCCUAAGGAGUUCUGUAGGCUGAUGUAAGCUAUUUUACUCUAAAAUGGAGAAUAAGUUUUACUGGUUUACUAUGCUGAGAUUAUUGUACUGAGCAACGUCCUAUCUCCACAGUCCGCUCUGAAGCAGAGGGUGAUACAGUUUUAAAUACACUCUUCAGGCUCAGGCUUGGUAGCACACUCUUGUGAUCUCAGGCUUCACAAAGGAAAGGCAAGAAUUUGCUGAGUUUGAGGACAGCCUGAUCGUAGAGAAUUCUAGCCAACCAAGGCAUACAAAGUCAAAACCUAUCUAAAAAAUAAAUUCUGCUAUGUUGAGAUGGGAGUAGGGAUGUGAGAUAUGAAGUAGGCAGUUUAGGAUUUCUCUCUUUCAUUUGUUAAUUUUAAUAUUAUGCACCCGUGUGGAGUUAGCAUGGUAUGAAGAGAACUGUAUGAGGCAUGUUGGCCAUCUUCAUGGAGCUCAUUCUAUAAAGGGGAAGGUAGAAUAAAAGUGUGAAUUAUACUGAGGUUCCCGAAUAAGGAUGAUUGAGAGAAAACUCCCUCCAUGCUUUAAUUAGAGUAGGUAUCCCAUGCAAGAAAUUGCAUUGUUCAUGAGAGGGUGGAAUGGAUGACAGUGAGGAAGAUCAUUCCAGACACUGGGAAUGUAUGUUUAAGCACCAACCUUGAAAGGACAGCCAGUAGAAGAGGUCCAGGCCCUGGUAGUGGAGCCCAGUUAGGAAAAGGACAGGAAGUAAAGACUGAAGGAGUCAAGUACUAGUAUGGAUGAAGUUCAGUGGCCACUGAACCACUUUAGGCACUAGUAUUUUAAAAAGGUAAUUCUACUGCAGAAGGACAACAACUCAAAAGACAAACCAGUUAAGAGGCUGUUGCUAGUGAGCAAAGAGAUGGUAGCUUGUGUGAAGGUGGCAGCAUAAGAAGCCAGGAGUGGUAAGAUUCAGGAUGUGUGGAGUGCAAGCAGUACAGCUCAGUGAGAGGGGAGCGAGAACUGGCUGGGGUUUAGCAUGGUUCUAAAUUGAGCAACCGGCUUGAACAUUAUAUGUAUGAAUGCAAUGCAAAAGUGAAAGAACUGCUCAACAACAUAGAAACAUGGAAGCCCGUUAAGCUGGGGGCAGUUUGUAGGACUGGGAUGCCAGAAGAGAAAGUUAAAAGUGGUGUUAGAGUAAGCAGUAAAGGCCCAUUAAGAAAACACUUGUGCUCCAGACAGUAUCCUCCCUGGCCUGGGUGAAGCCCUAACCAUCCAGUUGGACCAGAUCAGUCAAUCACCUGGCCAAGGGCCCACCCCUAGAAAGGCAGGUUCACCUUAAGACAUGACAAAGAGGUACAGGUGGAGUAAGGUACGUAUAUCUUUCCAGAAUCCCUGCCCCUGGUGCUGUAGAAUUCUUGGCCGUAGCCAUUCAACUUCAUAUGUCUGCUGACUCUUUCUCUUUUUUUUUUUUUUUUCCGGAGCUGGGGACUGAACCCAGGGCCUUGUGCUUGCUAGGCAAGUGCUCUACCACUGAGCCAAAUCCCCAACCCCUUCUUUCUCUUUUCUAAGCAUGCUUUCCUUAAUACUUCGGAUUUCCCCAACAUUUGGGGCUUGCUUGUCCACAAUGUGUUUGACAUCCAUACCAGCUUAAUCAUGCCAAUUUAAAUGGUACGCUUGGUUUAGUUGGUUUGUUUGUUUGGUUGUUCUUGUGUUUUAAUCAUUAUCCUCUACUCUUGAGGCAGCUGCUGGGCUUUAUAGCUUGCCUACCCUGGAUUUUUUUUUCUUUUAACCUCUAAUAAAAUUGUGCUAGAGCC